GAUAAAUGAUGGUUUCUAAAACUUUAGGGCCUAACACGACAGAGGUUGGGCCUUUCUCCAGUCCGUUGUUGUACACAAAUUCAGUAUCCAUAUGUGAUUCCACUUGUUGACUAUACUGUCAAUUUGCAAACAAAAAUAAUGAUUACUACCUACAGUUUAAUAUAUUAGCAAUAUAACAGUAGUAAUACAUAUACACUCAAUUACCUUGGAAAUUCAUGUUUUUGAACUUUUGAUCACUAGGUGUCAUAUGGAUAAGUUUUUAGAUUAAAGAGAAACUUAUUUGUUGUGCAUGAAACUAUUGCUGAUGGGGAUGCCACUCAGGUUGAGCACAUGGGACUGCCACGUAAGACUGCUAGAAAGGUCACUCCUCCUAAAAGACUUGGGGAUUACGUUUGGAAAGGGGGGAAAUCAUGUGAGGAAGGGUAAAAUUGGCAAGCAGUAGGCAUAAAGCAUCAUGAGUGGAGCAGUGCAGUGCAGACUACUUUGUUGUUAUCACUGGGCACUCUUUCUCUCUCAAUUUCUUCUUGUUCCUCACCUCCUUCUUCUUCUAUUAUUAGAUAUACUACUUCUGCAAUUUCCCUUUGUAUUUUCUUAUUUUAGAGACUUCACUACAUCUACUACUUAUAAGUUGAGUUCAAGGCUAUUAAUACAAGUGUGGUUAGUGUUUCACUGUGUCCAUUCAUUACAUUGGUGCUUUCAUCCAGAGGUCUUCAGUGGAUGACCAAAGACUCAAGUCACUUGUUGAAGAAUCAGUUCAGGGUAUGAAAGAGUCGAUUCUUGCAGAUAUUUGCUCCUUGUUACUGGAAGUGCUAGGAAGCAAAACCCAACGCCCAGAGAGGGACUCACAUGAUGACUAUUUUUUGACAGCCCCUAACCUCCGUCACAAGCCAACAUCAGUGGAAUUUGGCCAUUUAUGUGGAAAGAAUCCGGAGGCUUGGAUCUUUCAGGCAGAACAAUAUUUUGAAUUUUACAAGAUUGCAGAAGACCAGCAUCUGUCACUUGCUUCUUUUUAUCUGGACGGGGAUGCAUUGGAGUGGUAUCAGUGGCUUUUUCGAAAUAAACAAAUGGUGUAUUGGGAGCACUUGGCUUCGAAGGUGCG
rnacentral:lncRNA from 1 species